UUUUCCAAGAUGGCAGAACAACAAAGACAUCCAGAAGACUCACCCAAGAAAAUAAUUAACUGAUAUUUUCUUGUUAAAUAAUUAAUUGUGAUUGUUAUUUACAAUAUGAAGUGUUGGUGAAUGUAAUUUUAAGCAAAUUUUUGUUGAGAAAAAGUUUAUCACAUCACGGAAGGCCAAAGGAACACUAGAUUGACAAAUGGAUGAGGAUUUAUUAAUGCAUCAGUAUAUAUAUCAAUACAUCAUCUAAUACAUCAAAACUAGUCAGAAGCUCAAGAUAUCGAAGCAAGUGGAUCCUAUUCGGUAUAUGGCUAUAAUUUCUCAAGAACACUCUAGAUCAGGCCUGGCUAUAAGUGAGCUUCUUCUACCCACUAGUGUUUUUAGUACCAUUUAAGUGUGGUGUCCAUAUUUCACAUCCGCUGGCCUGUCUACAGAUGUCAACUUGUAGUACUUUUGGACUGUAUCCUCCUUGCAUCUUCAGAUUAUAUAUAAAACUCGCAAGGAUGCAGUCAUGAUGUAAAUGUAGACCAGGUAAUUAUAUAAAUAUUGCUUUAUUGGCCUGACAAUCAGUUAAAAUUCGCAUACUCGGCUUUGUUGGAAUAAUUCAUGUAUACUGUACUUGAAAGCUUUCUAGUCUCUCUCCAAGUUCUUAAUUUCUCAGGAAUAAUGUUCUCUAUCUCGUUCUCAGUUAUUCUCAAUUGUUCACAAUCUCAAAUGUGCUUAAGCAGAGUAAUUUAUACUGCAUUAUUAUUAUGUACUGUGCAAGCAAAAAGUGCU